GAAGGUUUUUAAUUAUAUGUAUUUCAAAGUCAUCUCUCUUCAUGGACACUGUUAAGCAUGGAUAAUUAAGAAUGUCCUAAGUUUGAGGCAGUUGAUUGAUUUCCCAUAAAAAGCUUUUAUCCCCUUAUUUACCCAGUUCUUAAAUAACUUUUCCCUUUCUCAGACGUCUCUGAGCUGACACAUCAGAAAACGGGCAAAACGGCGACCCUCUGAAGGAAAUAAUCAGGGAGGAGUAAAUAAGUCAAGAAUGAGCAACCAGAAAAGCAACUUUUCAGCACCAGAAGGCAAAGGGUGAGGCAGAGAAAGGCCAUUGUUCUGCUGUCAAAGCCAAGUGGGCACAACGAGAAGUGCAGCAGGAUGAGCCCAGGGCUCACCUCCGCUGUAGGGAAGCUCCAGCGGGCAGAGUAGGCUCCACACCCCACGUGGGCCUUCACCCCAAGGCCCUGAGAUGGAGGGUUGCAUCGUCUCCUGGCUGAGCUGGCUCGGCACCCCUUUCUGACAGGCAUAUGCUCAUUACAAAGCAUUUGUUGAGGAAGAGGACUAAAGCCGAAAAUAAUAAAAUCAUAAAUCACCCAGCACCUGGGCUCCGCUCUCCUGCCUGAGAUGUUCUCGCUCAACCAGGAUUCUGUGCCAACGUCGGCCGCACCCGGUGCUGGAUGGAGCAACGUUCCUGGAGCUUCCUGCAGGGCUUGGCUCAGCCCCAGGUCGGGGGUGACCCCCGGAAAAUCAGAAAGCCCGUGCAUCCUUUGCUCACUGGUCGGCUCUGGGCUGGUAACCUGAGGACUCGGCUGCUGCCACUUUUUUUUCAUCUUUUCCCUGGACUUACCCCUUCAGUCCCCAUCACUGAGUUGGGAAGCUUGAUGAGCAUUUUUAGAGACGGAGCAAAACCAUGCUGGAAUCUUCUGUUUCCCUUCUUGGUACCCUACGCCACUUUCAUGGCAAUGAGAAUCUGGAAGUCAUCCUACCAAAAAGGAGAGGGAGCUGAUGGGAUCAACAUUUUCUUUUGGGAUAUGACUUCUUGUGCCAAGGAUUAAAACAGCUGCAGCCAGGAGCGACCAGCAGGUAAAGGAUUAAUUGUGAGGUUCUUGCAGUUUUCCUGGCAACAAAAACACAGAUUGGAGCUAGGGUGACUGCAGUGAGGAACGAAGGCUGGGGGAUGGAGUGAGGAGAUGUUGCAAUAAUAAAAUUUGGGGUUGAUGAAUAUCCCGUAGGAAU
rnacentral:lncRNA from 12 species